rnacentral:rRNA from 1 species
GAUGAACGCUAGCGGCAGGCUUAAUACAUGCAAGUCGAGGGACAGCACAGGUAGCAAUACUGGGUGGUAACCGGCAAACGGGUGCGGAACACGUACACAACCUUCCUUUAAGUGGGGGAUAGCCCAGAGAAAUUUGGAUUAAUACCCCGUAAUAUAGUUGAAUGGCAUCAUUUGAUUAUUAUAGCUACGGCGCUUAAUGAUGGGUGUGCGGCUGAUUAGAUAGUUGGCGGGGUAACGGCCCACCAAGUCUACGAUCAGUAGCUGAUGUGAGAGCAUGAUCAGCCACACGGGAACUGAGACACGGGCCCGACUCCUACGGGAGGCAGCAGUAAGGAAUAUUGGUCAAUGAACGCAAGUCUGAACCAGCCAUGCCGCGUGAAGGAUUAAGGUCCUCUGGAUUGUAAACUUCUUUUAUUUGGAACGAAAAAGGGCCUUUCUAGGUCAACUGACGGUACCAGAUGAAUAAGCACCGGCUAACUCCGUGCCAGCAGCCGCCGUAACAC